rnacentral:rRNA from 1 species
AGCGCAGGCGGGAAGACAAGUUGGAAGUGAAAUCUAUGGGCUCAACCCAUAAACUGCUUUCAAAACUGUUUUUCUUGAGUAGUGCAGAGGUAGGCGGAAUUCCCAGUGUAGCGGUGGAAUGCGUAGAUAUCGGGAGGAACACCAGUGGCGAAGGCGGCCUACUGGGCACCAACUGACGCUGAGGCUCGAAAGUGUGGGUAGCAAACA